UCUGCUUAAUUUAAAAUUAUUUGAAUUUUCGACACUUUAAAUUUUAAAAUUUGUCUUAGUCUAGAUUUUUCCAAAGGUGAACUUGUUAAUGUAUUCCUCGAUACAUGGCUUAGCGUAAUAAAAAAUGGGUGCCAUGUGGCAUCUAACAAUAAAUGUUAGUCAGUUUUGGUAAUUAAAAGCUAACCGUAAAAGUUUGUCCUUCAGCUCCUUCAGCAUCAGUAUUCCAGUUCUGGGUAUUCAUCGUAGAGUGCCACUCCAUCCUUGAUGUUGAAGCAUCCCUGCGAUUAGGUUAAGUAUACUUCUUUUCUUUCCCAAAUGUUAUCAUAUCUGUUUUAUUUCUUUACCCUUCAGUAUCUCUAACCUUCCUUACGGGUUUCAUUAUUUUUAGUAAGGUUUCUAUUGAAAAUUUGGAGGGUCUUGAAUUGCAUAGAAGGUUUCCUAGUUGUUGCCGAGAGUUGAAUAAGUUUCCAUCAAACACACCUACUACAGGUAUUUAAUCUAUUUCUCGAAUUUUUAUAAUUAUACAUAUAGGAAUUUUUCCUCUUUCUGCUUUUGGAUUAUUGUUCUUGUCUUGAUUUAACAACCACAUCUUAUAGAGUCAUUGAGGCAGCUAUGUGGAUCUAUACUGUGAAUCUUUCUUAAAUCACCAAAUUGAUAAUAAAUUUUCUAAAGAUAUUCAUGCCGUAUGAAACACUUGCAAAGUAUAAAUAAAAGAAACCAUAUCUUGUUUGUGGUUAUCG
rnacentral:lncRNA from 1 species